GAUUAUCAAUCACUCGUUUUUUAUUUAUUUGUUAUCUUCCUCUUUAUAUUAUUUUCUUUAAUUUAUUUAUUUAUUAAUUGUUUAACUUUUUUAAUUUGUUUACCUAUUUAGUUAUCCACUCAAUUAUUUACUUUCAAAAAUUUCAUGUUUUUGCAAGGAAACUUACCGUUGGAGCUUAAGGAAAGUGGGACCCUCCUUGGAAGGUUUUGGGGAGGAGAUUUGAAAUUAGGAAAAUUGUCUUUGAAUUGGAAGAUUUAAAAAAAAGGAAAGGGAGAAAAAAAGAUGGGAAAUAAGAGAAUUUACCUUUUUAGAGAGAUUUAGGUUUUAAGGGGUAAUAUAUAUACGUGAGAAAAGAAAAAAAAGAGGGAGGAGACACUUUUCUGGACUGUGGAGGGAGGAAAGAAGAGAGAACAGAAGAAGAGUGCAGAACUUAGUUGGAAGCAGAGGAGGACCUCACUGGUCCUGGGAUUCUUGAGAGGAUAUUCGUCAGCCUGCGUCUUCUUAAGAUAAGUUCUUCAUUUUAAAUCCAUGUUCCUUUCUACUCUUAUUCCAUUUGUAAUUAUUGAUAUUUGUUUGGAUGAUUGGAGUGGCCAUCAAAGACCACAAGAUGCUGUUGAUUUUGGGCUCUUCAUGGAUUGCUUGCAGUUUCUGGACCCAUAACCAGCGCACAACUCGCCCCUGAAGAAUCUGGG
rnacentral:lncRNA from 1 species